rnacentral:rRNA from 1 species
UACGUAGGGGGCAAGCGUUGUCCGGAAUCAUUGGGCGUAAAGCGCGUGUAGGCGGCCCGAUAAGUCCGCUGUGAAAGUCCAGGGCUCAACCCUGGAAUGCCGGUGGAUACUGUCGGGCUCGAGUCCGGAAGAGGCGAGUGGAAUUCCUGGUGUAGCGGUGAAAUGCGCAGAUAUCAGGAGGAACACCUGUGGCGAAAGCGGCUCACUGGACCAUUACUGACGCUGAUGCUCGAAAGCUAGGGGAGCAAACAGG